AACGAACGCUGGCGGCAGGCUUAACACAUGCAAGUCGAACGGGCGUAGCAAUACGUCAGUGGCAGACGGGUGAGUAACACGUGGGAAUAUCCCUUUCAGUUCGGAAUAACUCAGGGAAACUUGAGCUAAUACCGGAUACGUCCUUCGGGAGAAAGAUUUAUCGCUGAGAGAUUAGCCCGCGUCUGAUUAGCUAGUUGGUGAGGUAAUGGCUCACCAAGGCGACGAUCAGUAGCUGGUCUGAGAGGAUGAUCAGCCACACUGGGACUGAGACACGGCCCAGACUCCUACGGGAGGCAGCAGUGGGGAAUAUUGGACAAUGGGGGAAACCCUGAUCCAGCCAUGCCGCGUGAGUGAUGAAGGCCCUAGGGUUGUAAAGCUCUUUCACCGGUGAAGAUAAUGACGGUAACCGGAGAAGAAGCCCCGGCUAACUUCGUGCCAGCAGCCGCAGUAAAAC
rnacentral:rRNA from 1 species